AGCCAUAUUGCAAGCGAAUCACUGCAAGUUUUUAAUGAGUUCAUAAUAGCAAUUCUAUUCAACAUUAUCUUUUACCACUCUGCAAUUAACGUAUUAAUACAAUACACAGAAUGGCAACUAGAGAUAAUCUCGCGUUUACAUGCGCAUGCCAAGCGCCUCAGGUCAAAAAUACCCCGCCGCGAUCACAGCGUUACUGUUAUUUGUGUCACUUUUAAGCGGAUAAUUAGUGAGAGAGGAGCUUAGGGAUUUAUGCAGGUCAUCUAAACGCAAAAACCGGUCAUGCGGAUAGACAUCAAAAUGUUGAAUUGAACUGGUAUUUGAGACUUAAAUCUUCAGAAUAUUAUUUCAUAAAACUGGUUGAUAAAUCGAAGUGGAAGUCUUUAGGAAUGGCGAGUAAACAGUUGUGUCUCUUUGGAGAAACGAUGAUACAAUAUCUACGUCUACAUUCAAAUGAUGCUAUUCAAGGUAACACUAUACUCAAAGAAGCUGACAUAUAGCAGUGUGAGAAAGGAAGUCUACUUUUGCACGACAGCAAAAAUGAUAUUUGUAUGUAUAUUUUAUCGGAAGCAGCUGCAAAACCACUGUCAGGAAACUCUUUGAAAUUAUGGUGUGGUAGCCUAUUUUACUGUUUUUGGUCCGCCUUGGUGGGACGAUAUUAAGGUAGAGUUUUAUAUGAAAAUCUACGAUAAAGUCUGAUGAUCUCGAAUGUGGAAAAAAAUAGACUUGAUUAAGAAGUUUCCGCUAAGAAAUAAAGCCUCUGCGUUGGAUCAGCUGCAUUUUUUGCCGUCUUCUGAAGAUCUUAUCUUUCAGGAAUAAACUCGCUGGACCAGCUACUCUGUCUAACUGUGACCUCUAUUUCUCUGUCUCUCCUUCCGAUGCGACUCAAACUCCGAUGCUCUCGAUCUGAAGUCGAAGGCCCUACGACUGAGCUGUCAUGGCUAACGGAUAUAAUUUUGUGUAAUAGUAAAGUGAUGUUAAAAUAAGUGUUCAUCACGUUGAAUCGACAACGGCCGCAUACUAACGUUUUCUAAAAGCUAAGCUUGUUUAAAUUAAAAUUCGUUUACAAUUCAUGUGCGAAGCCACUACUGCAGACGACAAUUCAUAUUGGAAGACGAAUACACUGCAUAUCACUUUGAGCUGAUACCAACGCGAAGGUAACCACAGGGACAGUUUACUGAGGUAUUGACACACUAAAUAGCUGUAGGCUCUUCUUUUAUUUAUAUGAAACAGAGGAACUUCCAGUGGCUGCAGCGCACACUGAGUAAAGCACACACCGUGGACCAUUUGAAAAGACUGUGACUUAGUUACCUUAUCUUGAGGAAUGUUGUCAGUACAGUAUACAAAUCGAAAGAAUGACUUAUUUUCCAUGACAAGUUAAGAUUUUUUACGAAGAAAACGCUACCAACAUUUCAGGGAUAGAUCUGUUAAAUAAUUUCAACCAAAACAAUACAUCAAAAGAAAGGAAUGUAUUUCUACAGAGCCAAAACAGCGAUCUAUUUGAAUAUGUUAUUUUCUACCAUUUUUUUCGCGCCAUUUUCUUAUUUGUUAAUGUCUGUAUAUACCCACAGAGUCGCGAGUCGGCACGUUUGAAACAUAGUUUUACAAUGUAGAAUUUCAUUGAACCUUUUUCUUUAAAAAAAAAAAAAAAAACGAAAAAAAAAAAAUGAAGGAAAUUCAGUUAUUAAAAAAGAUAAGAUCGUAUUCUUUAAUUUAUUGUACGACCGAUUUUGCCUUGAUUUCUUUUCAGUGUGUCAUUCAUAAAAGUUCGAAAAUUUCCGAUGGUAUAAAAUAAAUAAAUUGUCAGUUUUCAGUUAAACAUAAGUUUGUUCGUUGGUUUGUUUUGAGCUUAGCGCCAUAGAAACAGUGUUUCAGUUAUGUAAUGACAGACAGUUAACCUAACCGGUGUUCAUUGAUUUACAAACCUAAUCUCCGCAAGUACUUGCCAACUUCCCCACAUAAACCAGAGGUGCAGGACAAUGAUUUCAGGUACAGUGCAUUUUAUCAGAUCGUCACGGAGAGCACACGCCUCGCACAAUCUAAACUCACGACUCCGCGAUACCUAGAUCUGCGUUCUCCCUAUUUGGUCUAAGCGGGAGGACCUAAAACAAAUAAAUAGCUGGAUUCUAUAAAAAUCAAUGGUUUCAUUGUCGCAGCUAAAUACACUGAAUGAUAGAUAUAACUGCACAAGACAAAUCCUUUUUUUAAACUUCUAUAACUGAAAAACGCAUCAUCGUAGAAGUUGUUUAUUACGGAAAUGGUACUGAUGUUAUAAAACUAAUUCAUUAUUUUUUACAAUGUUUUGUGGUGUUAAGGUACAUCGACUUUUAUCACAUGUCGUAUUUAAAAGAUAUCAAUGUAGCUGCACUGGUUUUAUUUUACUUGUUAUAGUGUUCUGUACCGAUAUGAUAUAUUUCAUUGUACCAAUAAAGCUGAAUAUUUCAAGUUGA
rnacentral:lncRNA from 1 species